AGAUCAAUAUGUCGGUCGUGCUUAGGUACGUACUGGUAUCAUUGGUUUCUACUUUCUGACGAACCAUGGUGUCAUUAAUUUGGUGUUAUGGGGAGUUAGGACUGUUACUUUGAAAAAAUUAGAGUGUAUAAAGCAGGCUUUAGCUUGAAUACAUUAGCAUGGAAUAAUGAAAUAGGACUUUCGAACCUAUUUUGUUGGUUUCUAGGAUCAACGUA
rnacentral:rRNA from 1 species